GGGAAGAGCGAUCCCCAACCCCUGAGCCAGAGCCUGACUAUGUAGAGUCAGACCUGCCCGGCCUACAGGACACGGUGAACAGCCUCCAGAAACAGUUCGACCAAUCGGUGGUGGAGAAACACUCCCUGGAGAUGGAGCUACAGUCCAUGAAUGAACGACUCAAAGCCGCCACAGAAAUGGUCGACAGUCUAAAGCCCCAGGAGGCGCCGUGGAUGAAGCAUGUGAAGGAGAAUGACUGUAACGAGAUGUUGGUGGCCAACUGUGUGACCGUCUAAGCCUUCCUGGCAUACUGCGGACCCGCCAGUAUCGACGUCAGGAAGAGAAUGGGCGAGUUCUUCAUGCAGGUGUGUGAGUUCCAUGGCCUGCCCAUGCCCAGGAACAAACUGUUCAGGAACAUGGAGCUGAUCACCUUCCAGUACAAACCU